AAGGCCCUCAAGAAAUCAAGCAUGUAUAUAGUUAAUUCGGAAGCAUUACCUACUAUGUCCAGUACGUGGCAGUAUACCCUCACUUUCGUUCACUGCAAGUGUUGCAUCAGCCGUAGCUGCGAUUGCGUUAGGAGGAAAUUACCUUAAGCUCCGGUCAGAUGUGGACUGUUAGCGCUUGAUUCCUGCUAAACUCACCUGUUCUGAUUAUUCCUGAGUGGUUUUAGUUGAUGUGCGUCAAUGACGAUAUAACCACAUCCAUAUAUAUCCAAUUGUAUAUAUUGGAACCACAGAAAGAAAUACCUUUAUGCCAUACCGUGCUGAUUGCUGAUUCUGACUCAUAAACAUCCAAGUAAACCUACAUCAACCU